rnacentral:rRNA from 1 species
UCGAGCGCAGGAAGCCGUCUGAACCCUUCCGGGGGACGACGGUGGAAUGAGCGGCGGACGGGUGAAUAACACGUAAAGAACCUGCCCAUAAGUCUGGGAUAACCACGAAAAAUCGGGGCUAAUACCGGAUGUGUCAUCGGACCGCAUGGUCCGCUGAUGAAAGGCGCUCCGGCGUCCCCCAUGGAUGGCUUUGCGGUGCAUUAACUAGUUGGUGGGGUAACGGCCCACCAAGGCGACGAUGCAUAACCGACCUGAAAGGGUGAUCGGCCACACUGGGACUGAAACACGGCCCAGACUCCUACGGGAGGCAGCAGUAGGGAAUCUUCCACAAUGGACGAAAGUCUGAUGGAACAACGCCGCGUGAACGAUGAAGGCUUUCGGGUCGUAAAGUUCUGUUGUAAGGGAAGAACAAGUGCCGCAGGCAAUGGCGGCACCUUGACGGUACCUUGCGAGAAAGCCACGGCUAACUACGUGCCAGCAGCCGCGGUAAUACGUAAGUGGCAAGCGUUGUCCGGAAUUAUUGGGCGUAAAGCGCGCGCAGGCGGCCUCUUAAGUCUGAUGUGAAAGCCCCCGGCUCAACCGGGGAGGGCCAUUGGAAACGGGAGGCUUGAGUAUAGGAGAGAAGAGUGGAAUUCCACGUGUAGCGGUGAAAUGCGUAGAGAUGUGGAGGAACACCAGUGGCGAAGGCGACUCUUUGGCCUAUAACUGACGCUGAAGCGCGAAAGCGUGGGGAGCAAACAGGAUUAGAUACCCUGGUAGUCCACGCCGUAAACGAUGAGUGCUAGGUGUUGGAGGGUUUCCGGCCCUUCAGUGCUGAAGCUAACGCAUUAAGCACUCCGGC